UUGCGCGGAGCUGAAAAUAGU
rnacentral:piRNA from 1 species